GAUGAACGCUGGCGGCGUGCCUAAUACAUGCAAGUAGAACGCUGAAGGAAGGAGCUUGCUCUUUCCGGAUGAGUUGCGAACGGGUGAGUAACGCGUAGGUAACCUGCCUGGUAGCGGGGGAUAACUAUUGGAAACGAUAGCUAAUACCGCAUAACAGUAGAUGUUGCAUGAUAUCUACUUAAAAGGUGCAAUUGCACCACUACCAGAUGGACCUGCGUUGUAUUAGCUAGUUGGUGAGGUAACGGCUCACCAAGGCGACGAUACAUAGCCGACCUGAGAGGGUGAUCGGCCACACUGGGACUGAGACACGGCCCAGACUCCUACGGGAGGCCGCAGUAGGGAAUCUUCGGCAAUGGACGGAAGUCUGACCGAGCAACGCCGCGUGAGUGAAGAAGGUUUUCGGAUCGUAAAGCUCUGUUGUAAGAGAAGAACGAGUGUGAGAGUGGAAAGUUCACACUGUGACGGUAUCUUACCAGAAAGGGACGGCUAACUACGUG
rnacentral:rRNA from 1 species